CCUACGGGAGGCAGCAGUGGGGAAUAUUGGACAAUGGGCGAAAGCCUGAUCCAGCAAUUCCGCGUGUGUGAAGAAGGCCUUCGGGUUGUAAAGCACUUUAGUUGGGGAAGAAACAGCUUGGCCACACCAAGCCUUGACGGUACCCAAAGAAUAAGCACCGGCUAACUCUGUGCCAGCAGCCGCGGUAAUACAGAGGGUGCAAGCGUUAAUCGGAUUUACUGGGCGUAAAGGGUGCGUAGGUGGUUUUGUAAGUCGGAUGUGAAAGCCUGGGGCUCAACCUCAGAAUUGCACUCGAUACUGCAAGACUAGAGUUCGGUAGAGGGCGGCGGAAUUCCCGGUGUAGCGGUGAAAUGCGUAGAUAUCGGGAGGAACAUCAAUGGCGAAGGCAGCCGCCUGGGCCUGAACUGACACUGAGGCACGAAAGCGUGGGUAGCAAACAGGAUUAGAUACCCUGGUAGUCCACGCUGUAAACGAUGAGAACUUGACGUUGGUUCAUUUUACGAAUCGGUGUCGCAGCUAACGCGAUAAGUUCUCCGCCUGGGGAGUCGGCGCAAGGUUGAAACUCAAAGGAAUUGAGGCUGNGNGNGCGAGCGACGACGAGGAGAGG
rnacentral:rRNA from 1 species